rnacentral:rRNA from 1 species
CCUACGGGAGGCAGCAGUGAGGAAUAUUGGUCAAUGGACGAGAGUCUGAACCAGCCAAGUAGCGUGAAGGAUGACUGCCCUAUGGGUUGUAAACUUCUUUUAUAAAGGAAUAAAACGAGGCACGUGUGCCUUUUUGCAUGUACUUUAUGAAUAAGGAUCGGCUAACUCCGUGCCAGCAGCCGCGGUAAUACGGAGGAUCCGAGCGUUAUCCGGAUUUAUUGGGUUUAAAGGGAGCGUAGAUGGGUUGUUAAGUCAGUUGUGAAAGUUUGCGGAUCAACCGUAAAAUUGCAAUUGAUACUGGCAGUCGUGAGUACAGUUGAGGUAGGCGGAAUUCGUGGUGUAGCGGUGAAAUGCUUAGAUAUCACGAAGAACCCCGAUUGCGAAGGCAGCUUACUAAACUGUGACUGACAUUGAUGCUCGAAAGUGUGGGUAUCAAACAGGAUUAGAUACCCGAGUAGUC